rnacentral:lncRNA from 1 species
GUUUGAGCCCCUAAUAACUGCCAUGUAUCCUUUAUGAUGUUAAAAUUAGGUUAAUGCAGCUCAUGUUCUAUACACCUGGCAAACCAUUCCUGCCCUUACUGUGUUCAGGCUUUCUGUUUUCUCCCUGAUCUACCAGGAGUAGGAAGGAGCUCUUAGAAAUGUCCUGCACAGCCUGAUGGCAGUAUGGAGGAUCUGGGCCUUGUAAAACCACAUGUACAGGAUGGAAUGUCAGUUUGCAAUAAGGAGAUAACACAAAGUAUAAGGAAAUUGGAGGAGGUGAUGGAUCCAAGGGCACAACAGCAUCCUAUUUCUGUACCUACUGAAAGAGGACAUAAGCAAGCCAACCCCAAAGUCCUUAGUGUUUGAAAGGAGAACACCAAAAGUUACACAGCUUGGAAAAAUUAUAUUGCCCAAGUGAUGCUCAGGGGAGGCACCACCAAAUGUUGAAGGAAAUAGGAAGCCCACAGCGGGUGCUGGAGUGGUACCUACUGCUCUCUUGCUGAGGAAUUAAAUGCUAAAGUCUGCAUAUGCCUCACAUUCUGCUCUUCGUGGCCAGAAGGACAGUGAAACUCACUAAGCUUAAAAAGAGAAGGGACGUUCCAGGUACGACAGAUUCUGACAGUCCCACUUGUGUCGGUCACUUCAAGAACACUUCAUGUUGAACUUUCAAUAGUAGCUAAUUCAGUGCUGAAUCAGUCACUAAAGCCUUUGGAGUAGUUGUGCCUUUGGAACAGAAGAAUUUGAGGAAAUAAGAAUCCUGAAAAAUGAAAUAAAGGAGGAGGGAAUUCUCAGUGUCUAGGACCUGACAGAAUAAAAAAUUCUCUGUGUGUUUUACAGUUUGAAAUGAAGUAGACUAAAAUGUCUCAUUUUUUUGAAAACUCCUUACAGUGUAUCCCAACUAUGUACUUAAGACUUACUGUUCUCACUGGAAAUGAAACAUCAGAAAUGUAAAAAAAUCUACUUGCAGAGAAGUGUUCUAAUUUGUCCCUUUCUGCAUCCCCACAGCUCCACUCUUGCAAUGACAUUGACGCAGGAGUCAGUUCUGUCCAGCAGCAUCUCAAACUAUCUGCUUUCAUAUGGCUGGUUCUGCUUCACUUAUUUUGACUUCUCUGAGUUCCAUCUGAGUUCCAAAUUUGUAUUUGGCUCUGGCUACCCAAGUGCAUGUCUAGACAUGGCUUCCAGAACAGCUGGGAAAUCUGGCCCAACAAAGAGUUCAAGUCCCACUCAUUAUCUUCAAAAAGGGUAGGUGUUUGACUCAUUUGUAGGUAGUGUCUUUUUGAGAUAUCCUGGUACAGACAGAGAGUUUAGUUUUAUAACACUAAAUUCUAGAGAAAUUUUGUGGGAUUUGAGUAAAUCCAUUAUUCCUUACACUUUAAACAUUAAAAUUGAC